GUCACCUUGUAGCGCAAUCGAUAGCGCGCGCGCGUUGGACUUCUAAUCCAAAGGUCGUGGGUUUGAAUCCUACCUGGGAUG